rnacentral:rRNA from 1 species
CCUACGGGAGGCUGCAGUGAGGAAUAUUGGUCAAUGGGCGUAAGCCUGAACCAGCCAAGUCGCGUGAGGGAUGAAGGUUCUAUGGAUCGUAAACCUCUUUUGUAAGGGAAUAAAGUGUGGGACGUGUCCUAUUUUGUAUGUACCUUAUGAAUAAGGAUCGGCUAACUCCGUGCCAGCAGCCGGGGUAAUACGGAGGAUCCGAGCGUUAUCCGGAUUUAUUGGGUUUAAAGGGUGCGUAGGCGGCCUUGUAAGUCAGCGGUGAAAGUCUGUGGGUCAACCCUAGAAUUGCCGUUGAAACUGGGGGGCUUGAGUAGGAUUGAGGUAGGCGGAAUGCGUGGUGUAGCGGUGAAAUGCUUAGAUAUCACGCAGAACUCCGAUUGCGAAGGCAGCAUACCGGCGCCCAACUGACGCUCAGGCACGAAAGCGUGGGGAUCGAACAGGAUUAGAUACCCCAGUAGUC